rnacentral:rRNA from 1 species
AAAACUUUCAACAACGGAUCUCUUGGUUCUGGCAUCGAUGAAGAACGCAGCGAAAUGCGAUAAGUAAUGUGAAUUGCAGAAUUCAGUGAACCAUCGAAUCUUUGAACGCACAUUGCGCCCCUCGGUAUUCCGGGGGGCAUGCCUGUUCGAGCGUCAUU